AGAAGAUACAUUCCUGUUCUUGCUUCCAUGUUUACAUGGAGUUUGCAUCUGUCAAGACAUUAACCACAUCUUAAGAUCAAUCUAAAGAGCCAUCCAACUAAAGAUUCCCUCCUUCCUCUGAACAUAAUAGUCCUUAUACAUGUAGCCGAACACAGAGCAAGAACCCUGAAAGUGCUAAAUAAAUAUGUAUGGGAUGAGACUGAAAUUUCAUUACUAUACUCAUUGGAACAUCUUUCCUAAUACUGACCAAUUUACACUGUAAUGGGAAAGGACCAUCUGUUAUCUAGUAAAUAAAAUGACCUAAUGGAUUUAACUUUUACAAGGUAUCUAAUCCACUCAGGGCCAUGAAUAAACUGGGAAGUAAGUGCAAGAAUUCAGAUUAGAUUUCUAAGCUUUUCUCCAGCACUAUCUUCACCAAAAUGUGCCUAGGAUGUCACAUCUUAUGUACAAUAGCACAAAGGGCAUACUCCUAUAGCAGCUUUCAAACUUACUUGGUUGAAACCCUCAGCAAGAAAUAUGUUACAUCAGGACUCACAGACAAAACAAAAAAAUUUAUUUUACUAUGUGCAGUGUAUGCUAAUAUUUGUAUCUUAACUUACUGGUUGUAUUCUAUUUUAUUUAACAAAAAUAAUGCUGCCCACAACCUGUUGCUGGAUUGUGACUUACCUGCAAAAUGCUAUGCUAAGGACCCAGCACUGUCUAAGUGUGUAACUGUUUCAUAGUCCAUAUGCUUAUUUGGGGAGAUGAUGAAAUCAGACAUAGGUAUCUGAGAAGUGCAUGCUUCAAGGAAUGAAUGGGUGGUGCCAGCAAUAAAAUAUUUUCCUGCAGGUUUCAAAAUCAGUACGAACUGCAAACUUCACAGAAGAGAAUUUUGGUUGAGUUUUGUUAAUGGUUGUAGGCAGGGAAAAAAAAACAAAAACAGAAACAAUAUCGUGCUUGAUUUUCUCCUUUGCUUCCACAGGCACUGAAGAAAAGGCUUACAUGGGUAAAGGAAUGUUACUCUGGUGUCUUAGUAACGGCCUCAAUAACAGUAUUCAGUGAAUUCUCUCUUUUCUGUUUAGUUGGGACUAAUGGGUGAAACAUCAAAGAAGUUAAAUAUCUCUUUAAAGGAUAAUUCUUCUUCUUCUUUUUUUUUCCAAUUUGAAGUCAUCCAACUGAGGAAUGUGUUGUCCUAUGGGAUACCGGAACUUGUGUGUUUCUCAUUAGGCUGUAUUCAAUGAGUACCUGAAAAAGGAUUUGCCUCAGCUGUUAUGGAGAAGGUUCCAACAUGGGGUAAAAGAGUAGAUGAAACAUGUAAAUUGUGCUGAUGCCAAUUCUGUAACUAUUCUGUCACCUGUGGCUAUCAAGCAUUUGAAUUGUGACUAGCGUGAUUGAGGAAGUUAAUUGUUAGUUUUGAGUUUAACUGAUAUAAAUUUAAAGUCACACGUGAUUUGUGGUGGACAUGUUGGACUAUCCAAAUCUAGAGAAACCAAUGUGUUGAUUAUCUGAUAAAGUAAAUAUGACAGUGUUAAUACAUUAUAUACUCAUAAUUAAACAGUUUUGGGGGGAGGGAUGGACUGGGGGUUUGGGAUUGGUAUAUGCACACUGAGGUAUAUGGAAUGAUUGGCCAACUGGGACAUGCUAUAUAGAGAACUCUACCCAAUAUUUUGUGAUAAUCUAUGCAGGGAAAGACUCUGAAAGAGAAUGGACAUGUAAACAUGUAUAACUGAAUUACUUUGUUGUACAGCAGAAAUUAUCACAACCUUGUAAAUCAACUAUAUUUCAAUAAAACUUAAAAAAUAAAGUAGAACAGUUUUAAGAAUAUGGACAAAUUACUGCCAGCUGUGGGUUUUGGUUUUUCUACCUCUCUGAUGACAAAUAGGUUUCUUUCAAUUUUCUUGGGGAGACUGCUGACCUCACUGACUCUUGUUAGUGCUUUUCAAGAAAUCAUGCUGCAGAUUUUAGCUGAUACUUGCAAGUCAAAUUUAAGAUAUCAAAAAGAAACUCAGCUAGUCCCUUGAAAAUGGGGACUUUUUUUUUUUUGCAUUUGUAUUGAUAAAAUCAAUUAAGAAAAGAAAUGUUUUGGUAAAAGGGACAAGUCCUUUUUAAUAAUAAUGCAUUUGUAUCCGAUUCCCUCUAUAUUCUAAAAGGCUCUUGAUUAUAUGACAUGUCUAUUGACUUAAAAGGAGAACUCACUCCAGAUACAGUAAGCAAUCUGUGAUGUGCCCAAAAUAGAGGUGAAUGGACAAAGAUAAAUGAUCUGCUUUAGAAAUUCAAUCUAGGACAUUUAAAAGGACAGCUGCGCUGAAGUAUAGCCAAUCAAAUUGCUCUUUCUGUGAUACUCCCAGCAAGUAGCAAAAUAUCACAGAAGACACCAAUCAGGGGCUUUGAGCAUCUCUUUUUCGUAUGCAAACAAAUCACCAGAAAAUUUGACUUU
rnacentral:lncRNA from 1 species